CAAUUUAAACAACGAAGAGUUUGAUCCUGGCUCAGGAUGAACGCUAGCGACAGGCUUAACACAUGCAAGUCGAGGGGCAGCACAGGUAGCAAUACCGGGUGGCGACCGGCGCACGGGUGAGUAACGCGUAUGCAACUUACCUAUCAGAGGGGGAUAACCCGGCGAAAGUCGGACUAAUACCGCAUGAAGCAGGGGUCCCGCAUGGGGAUAUUUGCUAAAGAUUCAUCGCUGAUAGAUAGGCAUGCGUUCCAUUAGGCAGUUGGCGGGGUAACGGCCCACCAAACCGACGAUGGAUAGGGGUUCUGAGAGGAAGGUCCCCCACAUUGGUACUGAGACACGGACCAAACUCCUACGGGAGGCAGCAGUGAGGAAUAUUGGUCAAUGGGCGUAAGCCUGAACCAGCCAAGUCGCGUGAGGGAUGAAGGUUCUAUGGAUCGUAAACCUCUUUUAUAAGGGAAUAAAGUGCGGGACGUGUCCCGUUUUGUAUGUACCUUAUGAAUAAGGAUCGGCUAACUCCGUGCCAGCAGCCGCGGUAAUACGGAGGAUUCGAGCGUUAUCCGGAUUUAUUGGGUUUAAAGGGUGCGUAGGCGGCCUUUUAAGUCAGCGGUGAAAGUCUGUGGCUCAACCAUAGAAUUGCCGUUGAAACUGGGGGGCUUGAGUAUGUUUGAGGCAGGCGGAAUGCGUGGUGUAGCGGUGAAAUGCUUAGAUAUCACGCAGAACCCCGAUUGCGAAGGCAGCCUGCCAAGCCAUGACUGACGCUGAUGCACGAAAGCGUGGGGAUCAAACAGGAUUAGAUACCCUGGUAGUCCACGCAGUAAACGAUGAUCACUAGCUGUUUGCGAUACAGUGUAAGCGGCACAGCGAAAGCGUUAAGUGAUCCACCUGGGGAGUACGCCGGCAACGGUGAAACUCAAAGGAAUUGACGGGGGCCCGCACAAGCGGAGGAACAUGUGGUUUAAUUCGAUGAUACGCGAGGAACCUUACCCGGGUUUGAACGCAUUCGGACCGAGGUGGAAACACCUUUUCUAGCAAUAGCCGUUUGCGAGGUGCUGCAUGGUUGUCGUCAGCUCGUGCCGUGAGGUGUCGGCUUAAGUGCCAUAACGAGCGCAACCCUUGCCACUAGUUACUAACAGGUGAUGCUGAGGACUCUGGUGGGACUGCCAGCGUAAGCUGCGAGGAAGGCGGGGAUGACGUCAAAUCAGCACGGCCCUUACAUCCGGGGCGACACACGUGUUACAAUGGCGUGGACAAAGGGAAGCCACCUGGCGACAGGGAGCGAAUCCCCAAACCACGUCUCAGUUCGGAUCGGAGUCUGCAACCCGACUCCGUGAAGCUGGAUUCGCUAGUAAUCGCGCAUCAGCCAUGGCGCGGUGAAUACGUUCCCGGGCCUUGUACACACCGCCCGUCAAGCCAUGGGAGCCGGGGGUACCUGAAGUCCGUAACCGCGAGGAUCGGCCUAGGGUAAAACUGGUGACUGGGGCUAAGUCGUAACAAGGUAGCCGUACCGGAAGGUGCGGCUGGAACACCUCCUUUCU
rnacentral:rRNA from 1 species